rnacentral:lncRNA from 1 species
GAAAAGUUUAAUUGGAGUGUGCUUUGUUUUUAAAAAUUCAAAAUCCGUUUUUUGUUCUUUUAAAAAAAUCGUACCCAAAUAAAAUUGCUUCUGCAGUUUUCUGAGUGACUGCUCCAGCUUCGAGUUCCCUCGAAGUGUGAUUUCUGCAAGUCGACCAGUUCCGGUGAUUCCGAGAUGUAGUGAGUGCGAUGGACGGAAGAGAAUAGGUCAUUAAGAAAUCCACUAUAGCCGUCAUAUAAAGAAACGCAAUUAUCCAGAUGUGCGGCGAUGAACUCAAAGCAAGCAACUUAGAAUUUCUGGGUCCUGUUACAACUGGGAAUCAGCUAUCCAUAUCAAACGAGAGCUUUCUCCUGGUAAGACGUGUUGAUGAUUUUCCAGCAAACUCUAAGCCACCUCCGUAGGACUGAGGAAUUUUGAAGAUACCACUUUCGGCUGCUGUUGACUUCGUCUGACGUUUUUCUAACGAACCUGCCCACACUUCAUAGCGUGUUUGGGAAUUUUUCUUCCAAUAUAAAAAUGUUUUCGAUACCACAGCUCCCAUAUGAGCCAGAAACUGCACCAAACUUUAUGGCUGGUUUUAAGGUUGUAGAUGGCAUUAAAAAAGCAUCGUUGAAAGAACUGAAGAUCGGAUUUAAGGAGUUUCGGGGAUUGGAAUAUUCGCUGGCAAAAGUACACAACCUCUAUUGAAGAAUUCUUCCGAGACCACAACAACAAUUUUUUUUUAUAUAAUGUUUUA